GCGGAGGAAAAGAAACCAACAGGGAUUGCCUCAGUAGCGGCGAGUGAAGCGGCAAAAGCUCAAAUUUGAAAUCUGGCGUCUUUGGCGUCCGAGUUGUAAUUUGAAGAAGGUAUCUUUGGGCCCGGCUCUUGUCUAUGUUCCUUGGAACAGGACGUCACAGAGGGUGAGAAUCCCGUGCGAUGAGAUGACCCGGGUCUGUGUAAAGUUCCUUCGACGAGUCGAGUUGUUUGGGAAUGCAGCUCUAAGUGGGUGGUAAAUUCCAUCUAAAGCUAAAUAUUGGCGAGAGACCGAUAGCGAACAAGUACAGUGAUGGAAAGAUGAAAAGAACUUUGAAAAGAGAGUGAAAAAGUACAAUUGUUGAAAGGGAAGGGCUUGAGAUCAGACUUGGUAUUUUGCAUGCUGCUCUCUCGGGGGCGGCCGCUGCGGUUUACCGGGCCAGCAUCGGUUUGGAGCGGCAGGAUAAUGGCGGAGGAAUGUGGCACGGCUUCUGCUGUGUGUUAUAGCCUCUGACGAUACUGCCAGCCUAGACCGAGGCUGCGGUUUUUACCUAGGAUGUUGGCAUAAUGAUCUUAAGUCGCCCGUCUUGAA
rnacentral:rRNA from 1 species